rnacentral:rRNA from 1 species
GAGUAAUGUCUGGGAAACUGCCUGAUGGAGGGGGGAGUAACUACUGGAAACGGUAGCUAAUACCGCAUAACGUCGCAAGACCAAGAGGGGACCUUCGGGCCUCUUGCCAUCGGAUGUGCCCAGAUGGGAUUAGCUAGUAGGUGGGGUAACGGCUCACCUAGGCGACGAUCCCUAGCUGGUCUGAGAGGAUGGCCAGCCACACUGGAACUGAGACACGGUCCAGACUCCUACGGGAGGCAGCAUG